UACUGCUGUCACUCUUUCAUCUUUGCCUCCCUGUUUAGCGGAGCCUUCAUCCACACGUGCAUACAGAGUCAGACUCAGGGUGAUUGAGAAGCAAUCGUUUGCAUAGCAGAAUUUGAUGCAAGUACCUUGUCUGAAAUGUUACACACCUUCCCCUCUUAAGGUUGCUCCUGACAAAGCGGACCAUAUUUAUUUAGCUUAAAAUAUAAGAUGAUCUCAUCUGGCUCUUACAUGACCCCUGACCACAUCACAGGGCAGAAUAAUGCUGUGGUGAUCACAAAGUACACAAAGGAGAAGCAGGAAUCGUUGUGAAUCCUUAUGCAACAAUAAAAGAGGUGUAAUCCAGA